AAAAGAGGAUUUUAUUUCCACGCGAUACAAUUUUUAUCCAUCUUGUUUUAAAAAUGCGUAACAAAUUUUAAGGGAUUUUUUUUUUCGUCUAAAAAUAUUUUACUCGCGCUCAUAAUACCCGAGGAAAUUUAUGAUUAGCAAUAAAUUAAAAUAGUUUUGGGAUGAAGACGUCCGAAACUUACAAUUAUGUCUUCUACGUUAACAUGUUAUGAUGUUAUAAAAGCACAAAGGUUUAAAGAAAAUUUUUCCGAUUGUAUAUUAAAAAAAAAAAUUUUAUUUGAAAAAACAAAAAAUUGUUUUUAUUCGCAUUAUGAUAUAAAUAUUUUCUCAUACAGCUAAAGUCAAUACGUUUUUUUUCAUUAAAAAAAAAAAAAAUUAUUGUUCAAACAAAAACGUUAGUUACUAACAAACUUUAUGUAAUAAAUAUCCUUUUCUUAUAAAAAAAAAUUACGAAUUAUCUGUAUAAGCUGCUCAUGAAACAUUAGUGCCCUUAAAUAAUGAUUUUCAUAAGGUAAGGAGGUAUUUUGAAUCGUCAUCGUCAAAAUACGAUACAGUUUGAUUUAUAAAAAAUAAUAAGUAAAAAUAAGUAGAUGUGUUCAUCAAAAGCUUGAUAAAAGUGAAAAUUGCAUUCAUAAUACUAGUUUUUCUUUACUUUCAUUAUCAACAGGUUGCAGAGUGUGCCAUAGGAUCCAUCAAAUUAAAUAGAGAAAAAUUAUACGAAAUUUUACUAUAACAAUAAGUAGCUUCGCCUGAUAAAACCCAAUUUCUCUUUGUCAGCGAUCAAUUAGAAAAAAGCUUCAACAUGUAAGGUGAUUAAAAAAAACUAAUAAAAAAUAUGUAGUUCAAAAACUUCCAGUACACAAACAAUCACUAAGCCAUUACAUUAUGAGGCAUCUUUUCUGGAACUCAUAAUUCGGCAUAUAGCCUCUACUUUAAGUUGGAACACUGAAUGAAACGUGAGUUAUGUCGUUGCCUACGCGAUUCAUACGUAGGAUUCGGUUUCAACCUAUUGCUAAGAUAAUUCCAUUCCUUGAUUAGGGCCCAAUCUGAAGACAGGUUCCCAUUUUUUGAGUCCCGGGUGCUGACUCCAUCAAUUAACGUCUCAAACAAUCACUAAGCCAGACUUUCUAAAACAUCUUUAUUUAUGAUUAUGGGAAAAAAGAACUGUUAAGGUUUUUCAUGAUGCUAUUUUUUAAAAUUAUUUUGUGAAAAUUAAAAAAAAGAAUUCAAAGGUUGAAGGGGUCCUUAAAUCGCAAUAUUCUCAUGUUAAACCCAUAGAUUUAAGAUUAUAAAUUGAAGACGAUAAAUUUGAAAGCAUCGUUUCAAAAACGGCGAGUCCCGCGUGCGUACUUACCGUCUUACAUUGAUAAACUACGGAAGUGAGCUGAAUGAAAGCUAGCUACUGUUAUUCACCCAAAAGAGUAAAAAAGAACUUAUUCACAAUUACGGCGUAAAGAGAUAUUGAUGCAAGAACAAAAAACUUGAGAUUUUCAGUAAGGAAUGAAUUUGCUAUAUGAUACAAGAAGCUACAGAAAGUUGAACCGUUAAAAAAUAUUGUUUGGUUUAAUAAAAAAAACUUAUACUUUUUAAAUAUCAUGCAAAUAAAAGGAUAUAUAAGAAAUACUUUUAAAAACUUGAAAAAAAAUUAUGUUUUUUUCUACAAUUCGAAAAAAUUCAGUUUUAUUUCCUGAAA